CCUACGGGCGGCAGCAGUGAGGAAUAUUGGUCAAUGGGCGAGAGCCUGAACCAGCCAAGUCGCGUGAGGGAAGACGGUCCUAUGGAUUGUAAACCUCUUUUGCCGGGGAGCAAAAAGCGGUACGUGUACCGCAUCGCGAGUACCCGAAGAAAAAGCAUCGGCUAACUCCGUGCCAGCGGCCGCGGUAAUACGGAGGAUGCGAGCGUUAUCCGGAUUUAGUGGGUUUAAAGGGUGCGCAGGCGGCGAGUUAAGUCAGCGGUAAAAUUUUGGGGCUCAACCUCGACAAGCCGUUGAAAAUGGCUUGCUAGAGUGGGCGAGAGGUAUGCGGAAUGCGUGGUGUAGCGGUGAAAUGCAUAGAUAUCACGCAGAACUCCGAUUGCGAAGGCAGCAUACCGGCGCCCAACUGACGCUCAGGCACGAAAGCGUGGGUAUCGAACAGGAUUAGAUACCCGAGUAGUC
rnacentral:rRNA from 1 species